rnacentral:rRNA from 1 species
AGAGUUUGAUCCUGGCUCAGAUUGAACGCUGGCGGAACGCUUUACACAUGCAAGUCGAACGGUAACGCGGAGAGAAGCUUGCUUCUCUCCGGCGACGAGUGGCGAACGGGUGAGUAAUACAUCGGAACGUGUCCGCUCGUGGGGGACAACCAGCCGAAAGGUUGGCUAAUACCGCAUGAGUUCUACGGAAGAAAGAGGGGGACCCGCAAGGGCCUCUCGCGAGCGGAGCGGCCGAUGACUGAUUAGCCGGUUGGUGAGGUAACGGCUCACCAAAGCAACGAUCAGUAGCUGGUCUGAGAGGACGACCAGCCACACUGGGACUGAGACACGGCCCAGACUCCUACGGGAGGCAGCAGUGGGGAAUUUUGGACAAUGGGCGCAAGCCUGAUCCAGCUAUUCCGCGUGUGGGAUGAAGGCCCUCGGGUUGUAAACCACUUUUGUAGAGAACGAAAAGACACCUUCGAAUAAAGGGUGUUGCUGACGGUACUCUAAGAAUAAGCACCGGCUAACUACGUGCCAGCAGCCGCGGUAAUACGUAGGGUGCGAGCGUUAAUCGGAAUUACUGGGCGUAAAGGGUGCGCAGGCGGUUGAGUAAGACAGAUGUGAAAUCCCCGAGCUUAACUCGGGAAUGGCAUAUGUGACUGCUCGACUAGAGUGUGUCAGAGGGAGGUGGAAUUCCACGUGUAGCAGUGAAAUGCGUAGAUAUGUGGAAGAACACCGAUGGCGAAGGCAGCCUCCUGGGACAUAACUGACGCUCAGGCACGAAAGCGUGGGGAGCAAACAGGAUUAGAUACCCUGGUAGUCCACGCCCUAAACGAUGUUAACUAGUUG